UACGUAGGGUGCAAGCGUUAAUCGGAAUUACUGGGCGUAAAGCGUGCGCAGGCGGUUUUGCAAGUCAGAUGUGAAAUCCCCGGGCUUAACCUGGGAACUGCGUUUGAAACUACAAGGCUAGAGUGUGACAGAGGGGGGUGGAAUUCCACGUGUAGCAGUGAAAUGCGUAGAGAUGUGGAGGAACACCGAUGGCGAAGGCAGCCCCCUGGGUUAACACUGACGCUCAGGCACGAAAGCGUGGGGAGCAAACAGG
rnacentral:rRNA from 1 species